UACCGGGAGUUCCGGCCGCCGAUUCAAUCCCGCCGCGGUGCUCUUGACUGAGUGUCGAGGUGGGCCGGCACGUUUACUUUGAACAAAUUAGAGUGCUUAAAGCAGGCUGAUUUCUGCCUGAAUACUGUGUGCAUGGAAUAAUGGAAUAGGACUUCGGUUCUAUUUUGUUGGUUUUAAGAAUCCGAAGUAAUGAUUAAUAGGGACAGGCGGGGGCAUUCGUAUUGCGACGUUAGAGGUGAAAUUCUUGGAUCGUCGCAAGACGUACCUAAGCGAAAGCAUUUGCCAAGUAUGUCCUCGUUAAUCAAGAACGAAAGUUAGAGGUUCGAAGGCGAUCAGAUACCGCCCUAGUUCUAACCAUAAACGAUGCCAGCCAGCGAUCCGCCAAAGUUCCUCCGAUGACUUGGCGGGCAGCUUCCGGGAAACCAAAGCUUUUGGGUUCCGGGGGAAGUAUGGUUGCAAAGCUGAAACUUAAAGGAAUUGACGGAAGGGCACCACCAGGAGUGGAGCCUGCGGCUUAAUUUGACUCAACACGGGAACCUCACCAGGCCCGGACACUGGAAGGAUUGACAGAUUGAUAGCUCUUUCUUGAUUCAGUGGGUGGUGGUGCAUGGCCGUUCUUAGUUGGUGGAGCGAUUUGUCUGGUUAAUUCCGAUAACGAACGAGACUCUAGCCUGCUAACUAGGCGUUUCUGGUAUCCACAAUAGUGCUACCAGCGAAUAAAUUUCUUCUUAGAGGGACAGGCGGCUUCUAGCCGCACGAGACUGAGCAAUAACAGGUCUGUGAUGCCCUUAGAUGUCCUGGGCCGCACGCGCGCUACACUGAAGGAAUCAGCGUGUCUUCCCUGGCCGAAAGGUCCGGGUAACCCGUUGAACCUCCUUCGUGCUAGGGAUUGGGGCUUGCAAUUGUUCCCCAUGAACGAGGAAUUCCCAGUAAGCGCGAGUCAUAAGCUCGCGUUGAUUACGUCCCUGCCCUUUGUACACACCGCCCGUCGCUACUACCGAUUGAAUGAUUUAGUGAGGUCUUCGGACUGGUACGCGGCGAUCGCCUCGUGCGGUCACCGA
rnacentral:rRNA from 1 species